rnacentral:rRNA from 1 species
UACGGGGAGCAGCAGUGGGGAAUAUUGGACAAUGGGGGAAACCCUGAUCCAGCAAUGCCGCGUGUGUGAAGAAGGCCUUCGGGUUGUAAAGCACUUUCGGUAGGAAAGAAAGUCUUAAAGCUAAUACCUUUGAAGAGUUGACGUUACCUACAGAAGAAGCACUGGCUAACUCUGUGCCAGCAGCCGCGGUAAUACAGAGAGUGCAAGCGUUAAUCGGAAUUAUUGGGCGUAAAGCGCGCGUAGGUGGAUUUUUAAGUCGGAUGUGAAAGCCCUGAGCUUAACUUGGGAAUUGCGUCCGAUACUGAAUUUCUUGAGUAUGGUAGAGGGAAGUGGAAUUUCCGGUGUAGCGGUGAAAUGCGUAGAUAUCGGAAGGAACACCAGUGGCGAAGGCGACUUCCUGGAUCAAUACUGACACUGAGGUGCGAAAGCGUAGGGAGCAAACAGGAUUAGAGACCCUGGUAGUCCACGCUGUCAACGAUGAGAACUAGCUGUUGGAGAGUUUACUCUUUAGUAGCGAAGCUAACGCGUUAAGUUCUCCGCCUGGGGAGUACGGCCGCAAGGUUAAAACUCAAAGAAAUUGACGGGGGCCCGCACAAGCGGUGGAGCAUGUGGUUUAAUUCGAUGCAACACGAAAAACCUUACCUACCCUUGACAUCCCCGGAACUUGUCAGAGAUGACCGGGUGCCUUCGGGAACCGGGUGACAGGUGCUGCAUGGCUGUCGUCAGCUCGUGUCGUGAGAUGUUGGGUUAAGUCCCGUAACGAGCGCAACCCUUGUCCUUAGUUGCCAGCGGUUCGGCCGGGAACUCUAAGGAGACUGCCGGUGAUAAACCGGAGGAAGGUGGGGACGAUGUCAAGUCAUCAUGGCCCUUAUGGGUAGGGCUACACACGUGCUACAAUGGGCAGUACAGAGGGUUGCCAAAUCGUGAGAUGGAGCUAAUCUCAAAAAGCUGCUCGUAGUCCGGAUUAGAGUCUGCAACUCGACUCUAUGAAGCUGGAAUCGCUAGUAAUCGCGAAUCAGAAUGUCGCGGUGAAUACGUUCUCGGGCCUUGUACACACCGCCCGUCACACCAUGGGAGUGGG